UACGAAGGGGGCUAGCGUUGCUCGGAAUUACUGGGCGUAAAGCGCACGUAGGCGGCUUUCUAAGUCGGGGGUGAAAUCCUGGGGCUCAACCUCAGAAUUGCCUCCGAUACUGGCAGUCUCGAGUGCGGGAGAGGUGAGUGGAAUUCCCAGUGUAGAGGUGAAAUUCGUAGAUAUUGGGAAGAACACCAGUGGCGAAGGCGGCUCACUGGCCCGUAACUGACGCUGAGGUGCGAAAGCGUGAGGAGCAAACAGG
rnacentral:rRNA from 1 species